GUGAGGGCCCUCUGGGUCCAACCUCCCACUUGCAUAUCAAUAAGCGGAGGAAAUGAAACCAACAGGGAUUGCCUUAGUAACGGCGAGUGAAGCGGCAAAAGCUCAAAUUUGAAAUCUGGCACCUUCGGUGUCCGAGUUGUAAUUUGAAGAAGGUAACUUUGGAGUUGGCUCUUGUCUAUGUUCCUUGGAACAGGACGUCACAGAGGGUGAGAAUCCCGUGCGAUGAGAUGCCCAAUUCUAUGUAAAGUGCUUUCGAAGAGUCGAGUUGUUUGGGAAUGCAGCUCUAAGUGGGUGGUAAAUUCCAUCUAAAGCUAAAUAUUGGCGAGAGACCGAUAGCGAACAAGUACAGUGAUGGAAAGAUGAAAAGAACUUUGAAAAGAGAGUGAAAAAGUACGUGAAAUUGUUGAAAGGGAAGGGCUUGAGAUCAGACUUGGUAUUUUGCGAUCCUUUCCUUCUUGGUUGGGUUCCUCGCAGCUUACUGGGCCAGCAUCGGUUUGGAUGGUAGGAUAAUGACUAAGGAAUGUGGCUCUACUUCGGUGGAGUGUUAUAGCCUUGGUUGAUACUGCCUGUCUAGACCGAGGACUGCGUCUUUUGACUAGGAUGUUGGCAUAAUGAUCUUAAGCCACCCGUCUUGAAACCACGG
rnacentral:rRNA from 1 species